UCCUUUGGGGGCGUGCUAACAGUGCAAGUCGAACGGUGAAGCAGAGCUUGCUCUGUGGAUCAGUGGCGAACGGGUGAGUAACACGUGAGCAACCUGCCCCUGACUCUGGGAUAAGCGCUGGAAACGGCGUCUAAUACUGGAUAUGAGCUGCGAUCGCAUGGUCAGCAGUUGGAAAGAUUUUUCGGUCUGGGAUGGGCUCACGGCCUAUCAGCUUGUUGGUGAGGUAAUGGCUCACCAAGGCGUCGACGGGUAGCCGGCCUGAGAGGGUGACCGGCCACACUGGGACUGAGACACGGCCCAGACUCCUACGGGAGGCAGCAGUGGGGAAUAUUGCACAAUGGGCGAAAGCCUGAUGCAGCAACGCCGCGUGAGGGAUGACGGCCUUCGGGUUGUAAACCUCUUUUAGCAGGGAAGAAGCGAAAGUGACGGUACCUGCAGAAAAAGCGCCGGCUAACUACGUGCCAGCAGCCGCGGUAAUACGUAGGGCGCAAGCGUUAUCCGGAAUUAUUGGGCGUAAAGAGCUCGUAGGCGGUUUGUCGCGUCUGCUGUGAAAUCCCGAGGCUCAACCUCGGGUCUGCAGUGGGUACGGGCAGACUAGAGUGCGGUAGGGGAGAUUGGAAUUCCUGGUGUAGCGGUGGAAUGCGCAGAUAUCAGGAGGAACACCGAUGGCGAAGGCAGAUCUCUGGGCCGUUACUGACGCUGAGGAGCGAAAGGGUGGGGAGCAAACAGGCUUAGAUACCCUGGUAGUCCACCCCGUAAACGUUGGGAACUAGUUGUGGGGUCCAUUCCACGGAUUCCGUGACGCAGCUAACGCAUUAAGUUCCCCGCCUGGGGAGUACGGCCGCAAGGCUAAAACUCAAAGGAAUUGACGGGGACCCGCACAAGCGGCGGAGCAUGCGGAUUAAUUCGAUGCAACGCGAAGAACCUUACCAAGGCUUGACAUAUACGAGAACGGGCCAGAAAUGGUCAACUCUUUGGACACUCGUAAACAGGUGGUGCA
rnacentral:rRNA from 1 species